CUCAGAUCAGUUUAAAGACUCCACCUGAGCCACUUGUGCUGCGUUCACUGUCCUCAGGUCAGUUUAAAGUCUCCCUGACUGGACACCGCACGAGGGCGCGGCAGAGAUCCACCUUCUAGCUAACCGCUAAUUGAACGUCCGUUUCUGUAGUACCAGUACCAGAGCCAAGCCAUGGACUCAAGCAUGGAAAACCUUUCUUCAAAGCAGAUGAUGGAGCAGAUAGCUGACCUCGCGCACAGUCAGAGUCAGCUGAAGGAGCUGACCAAGGAGAUGAAACAAUGGCUGGAUGUCGCUGACGAGGAGAUAUCAGAGCUGCGCUCACAGAACACUAGCAUGACAAAGCACAUCAAAAGACUGGAGAAGCUCCUCAGUGAAAAAGCCCACAAUGAAGCAGAGUCAAGCGGGUUACUACGAGGCGAGGACCUUGAUGCAGAUAAAAUCAAUGCGCAAAAGAUGAACAAGAUGGAGAAAGAAGCUGCCCUGAUGAUGGAGGAAACUCAGAAGCUCACUGCAGAGAUGAGAAGCCUCCAGGAACAAAAAGAGAAGGAUCAGGCCCGCAUACGUGACAUCACGACUGACCUGGAAACAUUUAAGUGUUACAUUGAACAGGGUGAGUUAGAGCAGCAGCA
rnacentral:lncRNA from 1 species